AGUUACGUGGCCGAGGGGAGAGGCAGAGGCCAGCAAAUCCUCCUACGGUGGUUCGAUUCCACCCGUAACUA
rnacentral:tRNA from 1 species